rnacentral:rRNA from 1 species
CCUACGGGAGGCAGCAGUGGGGAAUAUUGCACAAUGGGCGCAAGCCUGAUCCAGCAAUACCGCGUGUGUGAAGAAGGCCUUAGGGUUGUAAAGCACUUUUAUGAGUGAAGAAGGCUUAAUAGUUAAUACCUAUUGAGAUUGACGGUAACUCACGAAUAAGCACCGGCUAACUCCGUGCCAGCAGCCGCGGUAAU